rnacentral:lncRNA from 1 species
GGGCGACACAGCUAGAUUCCGUCUCAAAACAAAACAAAACAAAAACAAACAGGAUUGGCAACUUCAAAGAGGACGCACACUUUCCAGUAACCCAUCCCCCUCUAAAGGCUGCGCUCCAGGGUGGGUCUGCGGAGUUCCAGCCGAACCCAAAUUGCUCAGCGGGAGCCAGGGCUGCUCAGGGGUCGGAACUUAAAUCUUGAGCCCCUCAGGCCCCAGAACCGUCAGGUCCCAGAGACCCAAGUUUUUUUUCAUCCAGUGGGGCUGUCUUAGGAAGCACCCGGGACAUCUCCC